rnacentral:misc_RNA from 1 species
GAUGAAGAACGUAGCGAAAUGCGAUAAGUAAUGUGAAUUGCAGAAUUCAGUGAAUCAUCGAAUUUUUGAACGCACAUUGCGCCCGCCAGUAUUCUGGCGGGCAUGCCUGUCUGAGCGUCAUUUCAACCCUCAUGCCCCUAGGGCGUGGUGUUGGGGAUCGGCCAAAGCCCGCGAGGGACGGCCGGCCCCUAAAUCUAGUGGCGGACCCGUCGUGGCCUCCUCUGCGAAGUAGUGAUAUUCCGCAUCGGAGAGCGAUGAGCCCCUGCCGUUAAACCCCCAACUUUCCAAGGUUGACCUCAGAUCAGGUAGGAAUACCCGCUGAACUUAAGCAUAUCAAUAAGCGGAGGA